GACUCACCUGCCCAUUCUCCUUCACCAUGAUGUUGGAAUUGUGGCGGUCGCCGAUUCCCAGGAUGAACGUGGCCACGCAGUAGCCGGCACAUGAUCUGGUGAACAAGUCGAUGGCACGGUCAUACCUGCAAAGAGCCAGUGGUGUAAAGUGUUGGAGUUAAACUGCAGCGCCCCCUUUAGGCCUCCUUUGCACUGAAUCUGCAUGAUGGUGAAACUGCUCUUCACCACCUCGAUGAGUCCAACACAGUCGCCGAUGGACAAGCAUCCGUAGGGGAGCAUGCUGAGACCAACAGACACAAAAGUGGUAUCUGUGAGGUUCACCAGUUUGUCCAUGGCCUCCACCUGCAUGCACACACGCCCUGUGGAUCAACCAAUCGAGGACCAAAUAGCGUCAGAAGAACCACCUCACCUGUCGGUUCAGAUGUUUGAGGUACAUGCCACACGCUCUGCAGAAGGCCUCCAGCAGCAGGCCAAAGCGGCGCGACACCGUUUUGUUGUGCAUCUCGGAUCUGCCAACAACAAAACGCUAAUAUUGCUUUGGCCUCGCAAGUCGUCAUCAUCCAUUGGCCUUCUUGCUCACUUGAGAUGCCAGAAGAAGAAGUGUCCAAUCCUCUGAUUGAUCAGGGCUUUCUUGAUAAGAAAACGAGCCAGGGGGUUGUCCAGGUACAUUUCGUAUUUCAACACCUGAACGAGCUGCAGUAGGUACUGGGACAGCUUGUCGUCCGUCAGGCUCUGCACCAGGCAGCGUAGUGCAAACUCUCUCACCAUCGGAUCAGGAAAGUUACAGUCCAGCAACUCCAGAGCCGACUCAGAUUCCAUCAGAGGCCAUUCCUUCAAAAGGCAGUACAUCUGGUAGAAAGGUAAGAAAUAUUUUCUUUCCACAUUUAUCCCUGGAUCACAACAGAAGACACAAACAGCGUAUCUAGUCUGUCUGAACAAGCGCAAAAGUUGGAGGGGUGAAGCCAAACGAGAUGACUCCCUUCCCCUUUGCUUGCACAGCUCUUACCUGAGAUACUUCAUCUCUGGAAUUCCAUUUGACAGAAAGAAGCAGCUUAGGUAGAGACUCAGGGAUAUUGACACAGUAAUGUCUGGAGAGAAAAAAAAAAGAGAUGUACAGACAAAAAUAAGACAGGAAGAAUUUGACGCUUGGUUGCUCGCAUUGGAAAUUUGGUCCUCACCUAUGUCUCCACAGGAAGUCCUUCUCUUGUUCCGAGAGUUCGUAGAGAGGAUCUUUGGAGCAGAGAGAUCGAAGCUGCUCAGCGUCGCUUGCCGAGACGCUGCUGUCGCACGCCAGGCGACUGUUCUAAACAGUGAGACAGGUUCCAUCCGACUUUCUGCCAAGCCAGGAAGGUGUGACGAAGCUGGAAGCGGGAAGUUGACAGUAAAGACUAUCCUUGGAGACCAGCAUGAGGUGAGGAAGACGACCCACGAUGAUACAGGAGCGGAUAUACUGCGGGCGGAAAGAAGUCACAAGUACUCGUCACAGCCACACACCUGAGGAGAUGGAUCGUGUGCGUAACACAGGCCAGCGUGCUGAGCGUUGACGUCCGUGCGUACCUUGAGGAUGUACUGGCCCUGGUACUCCUGAACACAGAGGCGGAGCUGCUGAGGGGAAAGGUGCAUGGAUCUGCUUUUCUUCCUGAUGGACUCUGCUAUCAGCUGUUCGGGAAGGCUGUCAUGGCUCACCUGCGCAUGCCAAGGAAAAUACACCUUUCAGAGAAUGGCCGUACCUGGAGAAGAUGGUAGAGGGGAUACUUCCUGGCCUCUGUGAAGAGCUGCUGCUUGAUGUUGAUGAGAGGAGUUUCUCGAAGACACUCCAGACUCACCAUCAUCCCUGCAAACAACACGGACGUUGG